CUGCCCUCAAGCACGGCUUGUGUGUUGGGCCCCGCCCCCCGGCUCCGGGGGGCGGGCCCGAAAGGCAGCGGCGGCACCGCGUCCGGUCCUCGAGCGUAUGGGGCUUCGUCACCCGCUCCGUAGGCCCGGCCGGCGCCCGCCGGCGACCCCCCUCAAUCUUUCUCA
rnacentral:misc_RNA from 1 species